rnacentral:rRNA from 1 species
GGAAGGAUCAUUACCGAAUUGUCAACACGAGUUGUUGCUGGUCCUUGAAGGGGGACAUGUGCACGCUCUGUUUACACAUCCACUCACACCUGUGCACCCUCCAUAGUUCUGCAGCCUGGGGGCUCUGUCUCCCUGCCGUGGUUCUGUGUAUUUACACACACACACACUGUAGCAAAGUCUCAUGGAAUGCAUACCGCGUUUAACGCAAUACAAUACAACUUUCAGCAACGGAUCUCUUGGCUCUCGCAUCGAUGAAGAACGCAGCGAAAUGCGAUAAGUAAUGUGAAUUGCAGAAUUCAGUGAAUCAUCGAAUCUUUGAACGCACCUUGCGCCCUUUGGCUAUUCCGAAGGGCAUGCCUGUUUGAGUAUCAUGAACACCUCAACUCUCAUGGCUCGCCAUGAUGAGCUUGGACUUUGGGGGACUUGCUGGCCUGCAGUCAGCUCCUCUUGAAUGAAUCAGCUUGCCAGUGUUUGGUGGCAUCGCAGGUGUGAUAACUAUCUACGCUUGUGGUUCUCCACCAGGUAACCUUCAGUGAUGAAGGUUCGCUGGGGCUCAUAAACGUCUCUCCUCGGUGAGGACAGUUCUUUGAACAUUUGAUCUCAAAUCAGGUAGGACUACCCGCUGAACUUAAGCAUAUCAAUAAGCGGAGGAAAAGAAACUAACAAGGAUUCCCCUAGUAACUGCGAGUGAAGCGGGAAGAGCUCAAAUUUAAAAUCUGACGUGCCUCUGGUCGUCCGAGUUGUAGUCUGGAGAAGCGUUUUCCGUGUUGGACCGUGUAUAAGUCUCUUGGAACAGGGCGUCAUAGAGGGUGAGAAUCCCGUCUUUGACACGGACUACCAAUGCUUUGUGAUGCGCUCUCAAAGAGUCGAGUUGUUUGGGAAUGCAGCUCAAAAUGGGUGGUAAAUUCCAUCUAAAGCUAAAUAUAGGCGAGAGACCGAU